rnacentral:lncRNA from 1 species
CACACACCCUAGCUUCCAAGUUCCCUGGCUGUGGGUUCCCAUCUCGGGUACCACUUAAUGCAGAUUUCUCAUCUUCCUAAUAACCAGAGCAGUGCAGGGGAGGGGGCUGUGCUGGCAUGCUUUGUCCUGGGAGGGCACUUGCUCCCCAGGCAGCUCCUUUCCGAGACCCGCCUUCCCUCUGGAUGCGCCCCACAGGCCAGGCAGACUGCACGGGUGCCUGUGGAACAGGAAGAUGGGGUUCCCUCAGUCCCUGAGUCUUAGACAUCUGAAAUUCUUCCAGCCAGAGCGCUCUGUUCUCAAAGUUCUAAUCUCAGCGUACUGGCUGAUAUAUCUUGGCUUAUCUAGACUUCUCUCUGGUUUUCAUCAGGGCCUUCAUAAGCCUCAUCCCAGGUCUCAGAUACUCAGCCACAGAACUUAAAUGGAAUUUGUUUUGAGGACGUGACUGACCUCAAAGUCCAAAUCCCUGUAGUCACUUGGUGCCACAAGUACCUACCAUCACUGGGACAUCUCUCGGAAUCAACACGUUCGUCACAGUGAUAUGCUUUCUCCUUGGGUGGGACCCUCUCCCCUCUGACCUCAGCUCACAUUUCCACACACCCUCACUUCCAUCCUCCGGGAUCCACAGUCUCACUCCAUCCCAUCCCCAUGGUCUGGUUUGGGAGCCGCAGUAUUUGCAUAGGCAUCAGCGGAGUUAAUCUUGUGAGUAAACUCUUAACAUCUGCACUUGUUUCCUUCCUUUUCUCUCUGCCCCCGGGCUCCUACACCACAGUGCAGGACUCCCAGCACCUCUGCGGAGUCCUCUCUCCUCUCUGCCUUGGGAGGGGAGAGGGGAAGAGCAUGUGUGACAGUUUUUGAGACACAGUCUGCCUCCCCCCAACUCCCGCCAUCCCCACCCCACCCCCGUUGCAGCAGUCGAAACUAGUCUGAAGCACAGAUACGCAGGGGUUUAGGCACUCCUUCCCCAGGCCGCCUCGCCAGCCCGAAUCUCACCCCACAGUGAUCAAAGUGCAGGAUGUAGUCCCCUUCGCAUUCCCCAUCCACCCACCUGGAGAGAAAUUUCAUCGGAGGCAUUUUUAGGUGUUUCUCUCUCCCCCAUGGGGUGUGUCCUAGAACCGGGAGGGUUCCAUGGCACCCGGUAGGUGAGGGCUUGGCUGCUGGCCUUUGGGAUAGUGGGAAAGUGAAGCCCCGAAGCUCUUGCCCCAGGCCUGGCCUCCCUGCGCGCACCACCCCUCAGCUGUCCUCUAGAGGGAUCUGCUCUGCGUUGGGGACAGAGCUGGGCAGGGUCUCCCUUGUUGGGGGCCAACAGGUCUCCUCUUCCUUUCCAGCCCCAGGGGCAGGGGGGUGGAUGGAGAGUGCCUUUUUUCGGACCCUCUUAUCCGCCCUCACCUUCUCCCGACCCUGAGGUUGGGCAGAAUCUCCUCAUGGAGUAGAGAUGUUUAAGAAAGACAGACUGCUUCUGCCGUCAUCUGGGCUAAACGACAAGGAAUUACAAAGCCUGCACCUGUUUUAAAUGAGCUAGAAAGGAAAACUGUUGGGAGGACAAACAAAGUUACAUUCCAGAGCUGUCCUGCUGCCCUGAUUUGGAGGCUGUAAUGAAGGCAAAACAUCACCCAAACACUGGUCACUAUGGAAAUGAAGAGAAGGAAACAGAUUUGAGAGACAAUAAGCUCGAGGAAUCUGCAGAGCUUAGUCAGUGAGAAAAAUCUAGUGCGCCUCCAGUUUCUGACUUUGGAGCAGCUGGGAAGUGACGAGACGAGGGGACUGACCUAUUAAUAAUAUGGGCCCUUAGGUGGCACCUUCUGGAUGCAGAGCCCAGCUCAGCUCUUGCUGAUUGUGUGACCAUCAGCAAAUUGGCAUCACUUUUAAGCCUCAGUUUGCCCAGAAGUCAGCUGGGCUCAAUGCUUCCUACUCAGAUGGUUGUUCGGGGCGUUAAGUCAAGUCAUUAAAACAAUGGCUGUGACCUGGUGAACAUCCAGUAAAUGUUAGCUAUUUUUACGUAGUGGUGCCAGUAGCUAAAAUUGGUAAUGCCAGUGGAGAGGGCCUGGAGGGCUAGCUUCGCGGAGCCCCUGCUUUAGAACAGGUGACCUUCAGGGGCGCUGAUGGAUAUUUAAGCUGAGAGGUGCAGGAGGUUGGAAGGCUGGGUGGGUCUGGAAUUUGUAGGACCAAAGAGAAAGAUUUGAGUGGCUUAUGACCUCAAGGAGCAUUGGAAACCUUGGGUUGUGACGGAAGUCCUGCCGGGGUUGAGUGAGCUGGUAGAGAGCCAGGUGCCCAGCGCUUGGAGCUGCGCAAACUCCUAGCCACCCUUUGCCAGCAUCUCCUCCCCCCUUCCUCCAAAGGCCCCCGUUGUUGUCAGAUGAAUAGGAAUAUCCUGUCCGCGGCCUCCACUUCUCAGUCGCAGUGACCCAGCUCCUUGAAGGGAGAUUUAGGGUCCAUAACCUACCAGGUAGGGUGG